CUGGCGAUACAUCACAGCAUGGUAAAAAUAUAUCAAGGAUCGCAAAAACUAUAACACUAAAAUUUGUAUCAACAUUAAGAACUAGUACAGUCAUGUUAUUACUGAUAUGGGCUUAUGAUGUUAUCUAAUUUCCAUAUCAAUUGUUAAUCUGUAAUGGUUAGUAGUACUAGGGAGGUCUAGAUCCAGUACGGAAACAAGUUCGACUAACAUUUUAACUUUAAUGUGGCUGAAUACAAUUUUUGAAAAACAUCCGCAUAGUUCGAAUUUAUAUAAAAGUAAUACAACUGCUGUUGCUAUGGCAACAAUGACGUUUUAAUAUGGCGGAUAUAUUUUGGCUUUAAAGU